CCCGACUGCUAUCGGAUUGAGAUUUAGCCACGCGAGUCGAACGUCCACCUGUUGCGGGGGGCGUGGCGUACGGCUCAGUAACACGUAGUCAACCUGCCCUGGAGACACGGACAACCCCGGGAAACUGGGACUAAUCCGUGAUAGGUCACCUCAUCUGGAAGGAGAGAUGGCCCAAAGGGGCGCGCGGGCUUCUUCUGCGCGUUCGCUCCAGGAUGGGACUGCGACCGAUCAGGCUGUUGGCGGGGUAAAGGCCCACCAAACCUGUAACCGGUACGGGCCUUGAGAGAGGUGGCCCGGAGAUGGACACUGAGAAAAGGGUCCAGGUCCUACGGGGCGCAGCAGGCGCGAAACCUUCGCAAUGCGCGAAAGCGUGACGAGGUUAAUCCNGAGUGAUUUCCGCUGAGGAGACCUUUUGUCGGCAGUAAAUAGGCCGGCGAAUAAGGGGAGGGCAAGCCUGGUGU
rnacentral:rRNA from 1 species